GGCUCCGGUGGCCUAGUGGUUAGAGCGUAAGCCUCGGAUGCAGGAGGUCGUGGGUACGAUCCCCGGUAGAGUCA